AACGAACGCUGGCGGCAGGCCUAACACAUGCAAGUCGAGCGAGGACUUCGGUCCUAGCGGCGGACGGGUGAGUAACGCGUGGGAACGUGCCCUUUGCUUCGGAAUAGCCCUGGGAAACUGGGAGUAAUACCGGAUGAGCCCUUUGGGGGAAAGAUUUAUCGGCGAAGGAUCGGCCCGCGUUGGAUUAGGUAGUUGGUGGGGUAAUGGCCUACCAAGCCGACGAUCCAUAGCUGGUUUGAGAGGAUGAUCAGCCACACUGGGACUGAGACACGGCCCAGACUCCUACGGGAGGCAGCAGUGGGGAAUCUUAGACAAUGGGGGGAACCCUGAUCGAGCCAUGCCGCGUGAGCGAUGAAGGCCUUAGGGUUGUAAAGCUCUUUCAGCUGGGAAGAUAAUGACGGUACCAGCAGAAGAAGCCCCGGCUAACUCCGUG
rnacentral:rRNA from 1 species